rnacentral:rRNA from 1 species
AUUGAACGCUGGCGGCAGGCCUAACACAUGCAAGUCGAGCGGAUGAAGGGAGCGUGCUCCUGGAUUCAGCGGCGGACGGGUGAGUAAUUCCUAGGAAUCUGCCUGGUAGUGGGGGAUAACGUCCGGAAACGGGCGCUAAUACCGCAUACGUCCUGAGGGAGAAAGUGGGGGAUCUUCGGACCUCACGCUAUCAGAUGAGCCUAGGUCGGAUUGGCUAGUUGGUGGGGUAAAGGCCUACCAAGGCGACGAUCCGUAACUGGACUGAGAGGAUGAUCAGUCACACUGGAACGGGGACACGGCCCAGACUCCUACGGGAGGCAGCAGUGGGGAAUAUUGGACAAUGGGCGAAAGCCUGAUCCAGCCAUGCCGCGUGGGUGAAGAAGGUCUUCGGAUUGUAAAGCACUUUAAGUUGGGAGGAAGGGCAGUAAGUUAAUACCUUGCUGUUUUGACGUUACCAACAGAAUAAGCACCGGCUAACUUCGUG